GACGAACGCUGGCGGCGUGCUUAACACAUGCAAGUCGUACGGUAAGGCCCUUUCGGGGGUACACGAGUGGCGAACGGGUGAGUAACACGUGAGUAACCUGCCCACAACUUUGGGAUAACGCUAGGAAACUGGUGCUAAUACUGGAUAUGUGCUCCUGCUGCAUGGUGGGGGUUGGAAAGCUCCGGCGGUUGUGGAUGGACUCGCGGCCUAUCAGCUUGUUGUUGGGGUAGUGGCCUACCAAGGCGGCGACGGGUAGCCGGCCUGAGAGGGUGACCGGCCACAUUGGGACUGAGAUACGGCCCAGACUCCUACGGGAGGCAGCAGUGGGGAAUAUUGCACAAUGGGCGCAAGCCUGAUGCAGCAACGCCGCGGGCGGGAUGACGGCCUUCGGGUUGUAAACCGCUUUCAGCAGGGACGAAGCUUUUUGUGACGGUACCUGCAGAAGAAGCACCGGCUAACUACGUG
rnacentral:rRNA from 1 species